UGAAUCCUUUGCAGACGACUUAAAUACGCGACGGGGUAUUGUAAGGGGUAGAGUGGCCUUGCUGCCACGAUCCUCUGAGAUUAGCCCUUUGUCGCUCCGAUUCGU
rnacentral:ncRNA from 1 species